rnacentral:rRNA from 1 species
UGGGCUUGGCGUGUCCGGAAUCCUGCAGAGAUGCGGGAGUGCCCUUCGGGGAAUCAGAACAC